rnacentral:rRNA from 1 species
AACAGGAUUAGAUACCCUGGUAGUCCACGCCGUAAACGAUGUCUACUAGCUGUUCGUGGUCUUGUACUGUGAGUAGCGCAGCUAACGCACUAAGUAGACCGCCUGGGGAGUACGGUCGCAAGAUUAAAACUCAAAUGAAUUGACGGGGGCCCGCACAAGCGGUGGAGCAUGUGGUUUAAUUCGACGCAACGCGAAGAACCUUACCUACUCUUGACAUCUAGCGAAGAUUGUAGAGAUACGAUUGUGCCUUCGGGAACGCUAAGACAGGUGCUGCAUGGCUGUCGUCAGCUCGUGUUGUGAAAUGUUGGGUUAAGUCCCGCAACGAGCGCAACCCUUAUCCUUAGUUGCCAGCACGUAAUGGUGGGAACUCUAGGGAGACUGCCGGUGAUAAACCGGAGGAAGGUGGGGACGACGUCAAGUCAUCAUGGCCCUUACGAGUAGGGCUACACACGUGCUACAAUGGUAUGUACAGAGGGAGGCAGGCUGGCGACAGUGAGCGGAUCUCUUAAAGCAUAUCGUAGUCCGGAUCGCAGUCUGCAACUCGACUGCGUGAAGUCGGAAUCGCUAGUAAUCGCAAAUCAGAAUGUUGCGGUGAAUACGUUCCCGGGCCUUGUACACACCGCCCGUCACACCAUGGGAGUGGGUUGCAAAAGAAGUAGGUAGCUUAACCUUCGGGAGGGCGCUUACCACUUUGUGAUUCAUGACUGGGGUGAAGUCGUAACAAGGUAACC